rnacentral:rRNA from 1 species
AUUGAACGCUGGCGGCAGGCCUAACACAUGCAAGUCGAGCGGAGAGGCGGACGGGUGAGUAAUGCCUAGGAAUCUGCAUGGUAGUGGGGGAUAACGUACGGAAACGGGCGCUAAUACCGCAUACUAGCAGAUGAGCCUAGGUCGGAGUAGCUAGUUGGGGGGGUAAAGGCAUACCAAGGCGAAGAUCCGUAACUGGGCUGAGAGGAUGAUCAGUCACACUGGAACGGAGACACGGUCCAGACUCCUACGGGAGGCAGCAGUGGGGAAUAUUGGACAAUGGGCGAAAGCCUUAUCCAGCCAUGCCGCGUGUGUGAAGAAGGUCUUCGGAUUGUAAAGCACUGUAAGUUGGGAGGCGUUACCAACAGAAUAAGCACCGGCUAACUUCGUGCCAGCAGCCGCGGUAAUUC